rnacentral:rRNA from 1 species
GACGAACGCUGGCGGCGUGCUUAACACAUGCAAGUCGAACGGUGAAGCGCCUUCCUUUUUGGUGGGUGUGGAUGAGUGGCGAACGGGUGAGUAACACGUGAGUAACCUGCCCCCUUCUUCUGGAUAACCGCAUGAAAGUGUGGCUAAUACGGGAUAUUCUGGGUCUGUCGCAUGAUGGGUCUGGGAAAGAUAUUGUUUCGGUGGGGGAUGGGCUCGCGGCCUAUCAGCUUGUUGGUGGGGUGAUGGCCUACCAAGGCGGUGAGGAGUAGCCGGCCUGGGGGGGUCGGCGAUCACGGUAGGGCUGAGAGGCGGACAAGACUCCGGCGGGAGGCAGUAGGGAAUAUUAGGGCACGGUGGGAAGAAGGAUGGUGCAGCGACGCCGGGGGGGUGAUGGUGGUCGGCUGGUAAUGAUCCGCUUUUGGGAAAGAAGCAGGCCGGCCGCAAUUAUGGGUGGGUUGAGGGUAGCUAGAUAGAAAGCGCCGGCUAACUACGUG